GUCCUUUAGUUAUUUAUUUAAGGUCUAACCUGCCCGCUGAUAUUUAUUAAAUGGCCCGCGGUAUCUUGACCGUGCAAAGGUAGCAUAAUCACUUGUCUUUUAAUUGAAGGCUUGAAUGAACGGUUGGACGAGAAAUAGACUUUCUUUAUUUUAUUAGAAUGAAUUUUAUUUUUAAGUGAAAAAGCUUAGAUUUUUUUAUAGGACGAGAAGACCCUAUAGAAUUUAAUAAUGUUAAGUGUUAAAUUUAUUUUGGUUUAAGAUAUAUUUUAUUACUUUAUUUAUUUUGUUGGGGCGACAGGAAAAUUUUAUUAACUUUUCUUUAAUAUUUUCAUUAAUUAAUGUAUAAUUGAUCCUUUAUUUAAAGAUUAAAAGAUUAAAUUACCUUAGGGAUAACAGCGUAAUUCUUUUGGAGAGUUCUUAUCGAUAAAAGAGUUUGCGA
rnacentral:rRNA from 1 species